AGGGAAUAUUGGGCAAUGGAUGCAAGUCUGACCCAGCCAUGCCGCGUGGAGGAAGAAGGUCCUCUGGAUUGUAAACUCCUUUUGUCGGGGAAGAAGAGUCAUCUUGCGAGGUGAUGUGACGGUACCCGAUGAAUAAGCCACGGCUAACUACGUGCCAGCAGCCGCGGUAAUACAUAGGUGGCAAGCGUUGUCCGGAUUUAUUGGGUUUAAAGGGUGCGUAGGUGGUUUAUUAAGUCAGUGGUGAAAGCUGGUUGCUCAACAAUCAAGUUGCCAUUGAUACUGAUAGACUUGAGAGAAGUGGAGGUUCAUGGAAUGGAUGGUGUAGCGGUGAAAUGCAUAGAUAUCAUCCAGAACGUCGAUUGCGAAGGCAGUGGGCUGUACUUUUUCUGACACUGAGGCACGAAAGCGUGGGGAUCAAAC
rnacentral:rRNA from 1 species